rnacentral:rRNA from 1 species
GACGAACGCUGGCGGCGUGCCUAAUACAUGCAAGUCGAGCGGAAGUUGAAGAGCUUGCUCUUCAACUUUAGCGGCGGACGGGUGAGUAACACGUGGGCAACCUGCCCUGCAGAUCGGGAUAACUCCGGGAAACCGGUGCUAAUACCGAAUAGUUUUCGCCACCUCCUGGUGGCGUACGGAAAGACGGUUUCGGCUGUCACUGCAGGAUGGGCCGCGGCGCAUUAGCUAGUUGGUGGGGUAACGGCCCACCAAGGCGACGAUGCGUAGCCGACCUGAGAGGGUGAUCGGCCACACUGGGACUGAGACACGGCCCAGACUCCUACGGGAGGCAGCAGUAGGGAAUCUUCCGCAAUGGACGAAAGUCUGACGGAGCAACGCCGCGUGAGUGACGAAGGUUUUCGGAUCGUAAAACUCUGUUGUGAGGGAAGAACAAGUACCAACUAACUACUGGUACCUUGACGGUACCUCACCAGAAAGCCACGGCUAACUACGUGCCAGCAGCCGCCGUAACAC